rnacentral:rRNA from 1 species
UGGGGAAUAUUGGACAAUGGGCGCAAGCCUGAUCCAGCCAUGCCGCGUGGAUGAUGAAGGCCCUAGGGUUGUAAAGUCCUUUCGGCGGGGAAGAUAAUGACGGUACCCGCAGAAGAAGCCCCGGCUAACUUCGUGCCAGCAGCCGCGGUAAUACGAAGGGGGCUAGCGUUGCUCGGAAUCACUGGGCGUAAAGCGCACGUAGGCGGCUUCUUAAGUCAGGGGUGAAAUCCUGGAGCUCAACUCCAGAACUGCCUUUGAUACUGAGAAGCUUGAGUUCGGGAGAGGUGAGUGGAACUGCGAGUGUAGAGGUGAAAUUCGUAGAUAUUCGCAAGAACACCAGUGGCGAAGGCGGCUCACUGGCCCGAUACUGACGCUGAGGUGCGAAAGCGUGGGGAGCAAACAGGAUUAGAUACCCGCGUAGUCC